GUGACAGACAUGAGCCCAGAAAAUCUGCUCCUCGCCUCUCGUGCAUCCAAAACCAUCAAACACCUUUGGGGGGCUGCAGAAAGCCUGAGACCUUCAGUGCUGAAGAUACACAGUGCAGAGAGCACAGUGGCCACAGGAAAAGGUUUCUUCCUCCUGAAGGCCUCAGAGGAGCUCUUGGUGCAGGUGUGUGUGCUAUGCAGAAAAGGAGACUGCGCUGCAACCCAGCAGCACAGGGCAGGGGAUCUCACUGCUACCAAUUUUAUCUUCUGCACAAAAGCUCUGAAGUAUGUGACAUACGACAAAGAGAACACCAAAAUCUGCUGUGCCAUAUGAUCAGCUCACAUUGCAGUGGGCAUGUUCCUGGCUCCAAAAGUUUCACAGCCAUCACACUAUUCCCUGCUUCCUGAUGGGAAUUUGUGCCUUUAACUGUCUGCAGUAAGUCACAAGUAUUUCCUCCCAAAGCAUGCAAUG
rnacentral:lncRNA from 1 species